AAUGUGAAGCAUGAUGAACUGUAUUGAACUGAAUACAGCAUGACGUCUACAUUCAAUCCAACACUGAGCUUCAUAUC